rnacentral:rRNA from 1 species
GCGGAAGCUGAUGGAGUGCUUGCACUCCUGAUGCUUAGCGGCGGACGGGUGAGUAACACGUAGGUAACCUGCCUGUGAGACUGGGAUAACUACCGGAAACGGUAGCUAAUACCGGAUAGACAUCUUCCUCGCCUGAGGGAGAUGGGAAAGACGGAGCAAUCUGUCACUUGCAGAUGGACCUGCGGCGCAUUAGCUAGUUGGUGGGGUAACGGCUCACCAAGGCGACGAUGCGUAGCCGACCUGAGAGGGUGAUCGGCCACACUGGGACUGAGACACGGCCCAGACUCCUACGGGAGGCAGCAGUAGGGAAUCUUCCGCAAUGGACGAAAGUCUGACGGAGCAACGCCGCGUGAGUGAUGAAGGUUUUCGGAUCGUAAAGCUCUGUUGCCAGGGAAGAACGCCAGGGAGAGUAACUGCUCUCUGGGUGACGGUACCUGA